rnacentral:lncRNA from 1 species
AGGUAUUUGAGUUUAAGAUAUUGUGUAUUGGAGGAGUUGCCAUCAUGUAUAGGGGACUUGAGAUACUUGGAAACACUUGAUUUAAGGGUAAAUUGUUAUGUUGUCAUACCGAAUGUGUUAUGGAAGAUGAAACGUUUGAAGCAUCUUUAUCUUCCUUACACGAUUAGGGGCGUAAAUAAGAAAUUGAGAUUUGAUGGCCUCAAGGAGUUAGAGUUAUUACAGAAUUUUGAUGCGAGCAAGUGUGACGUCAACGAUCUCAUGGAACUAACCAACCUUCGAGUACUAAUUUACGCAACGAUAAAUAGUCUCGAGGAACAAAAAGGGGUGAUGAAUUUCGUCAAUUCAGACUUGCGCCACCCACAGUACACAUCCCUUGACAUACUAAUUGAGUUAAAUAAUGAUCAUAUCAAUUUGAUUCAAUUUUUAGUGUGUGACAAUCUAAAUGAGUUGACUAUUGUGGGGAAUGGUAGAGGCAAUAUCAUGAUACCUGAUCACCCGUAUGAACAACCACGUCUCUCUGAAAGCCUCACUCGUAUACGAUUAGCUAAUUGUAAUUUUGAGGCAGACGCAAUGGUGUUACUACAGAAGCUUCCCAACCUACAAAUACUGGCAUUAAAUGGUAAUUGCUUUGCGGGGAAUGAAUUUGUAUUUAGUUCAAACAGUUUCCCUCAACUCGUAUGUCUUGAGCUGUCGGGAAAUCCGUUAGAAAAGUGGAGGGUGGAUGAAGGAGCCAUGCCCAAUCUUUCUAUAUUACAGAUUACUAGGUGUGAGAAAUUGGAGAUGCUUCCAGAGGGAUUGAAAUUCCUCACGUCCCUUGGAGAAUUAAGAAUUUGGUGGAUGCCUAAAGCAUUCAAUGAUAGGAUUCGAGUGAUAAAUGGUGUAGAAGGACAAGACUUCCACAAACUCCGUCACAUCCCUUCCAUUGUUAUCCGAGGUAAGCCCUUAAUUAAUUACGUUGUCCUUUCGUCCGUCCGUCCGUCCGUCCCAUUAAUUUUAAUUGUAUUAUUUCUUAUUAAUUUAUUAUUAUUAUUAUUAUUGGAUUUCAGGUGAAUUGAAAUCCAAUAUGAAACUGAACUGAGGUAAGCCCUUAAUUAAUGACGUCCGUUCCACCGUCGCUUUAAUUUUAAUUGUAUUACUAUUUCUUAUUAAUUUCUUCUUCUUAUUAUUAUUGGAUUUCAGGUGAAUUGAAGCCCUCCGAUCGACUCCGAUAUAUAAAGGGACAAUUUGUUCGUUUCGCUUGUUGGUGUUUAAUUUCAUCUUUCAUUUGUGUACUGUGUAAAUUGUAAUAAUCUCUCUAACCUCAAAACUCAUAUUCUAUAUAUGUUACAUAUUCUCUUUAAUUAAUAUGUACAGCUCUCUUUAAUUAUUUCUCUGCGCUUACAACAUUAAAGAUACAAUUUAAUUGUUGAGGUCAACGACAACAUAUUAAAUUUAAAAUUGUUGUGAAUAUAAUUAAUUUUAGCUGAUACAAUAAUUAUAAUUAUAUGGUAUAUAACAACAACUAUUAAUUAAACACAAAUGUUAUUUCAUUCUAAAUUUUUAUGAGUCAUACCAAUUUUAAAAUUUAAUAUGUCGUUGUUUGACCUAAAAAACAUCUCACGAAUAUUAAAGUUAUGUUUCUUUUUAAAAUUUUAUUAAUGUUGAAAUGAUGAUUCAUUAUGAAAUGUUGAAUCAAUGUAUUUUUUUAUUAACACAUUUUUUAAUAAUCUUUAAAUUUUAAUUUAAUUUAUAAGUCAUUAUCAAUCAAGCAUCUUCACAACAUAUUUAAACUUAAUUCUUUAUUUAUAAGUUAAAUUGUUGUCGAGAACUUUUCUUAUAAAUCAUAAACGGAUCUAUAAUUCACUUAAUUUUAACUUAAAAAUCGUUUUAAAAUAAGUCAUUGUCGAAUGGGCCCUUGAGGGACAUUCAGCUAGACUUAUAAGAGUUGGUUUAACUUAUAAGGUGAUUAAACUGACUAAUAAGUCAGUCUUUACUAUUUGAGUGUUCAAACAUGACUUAAAUUUUAAUUUAUUAAUUGACUUAUAAGUUUUUUUAAAGAAGUAAAUCAAAAAUGACUUAUAAGCCAUUUUAAAUAAAUAAGUUUGAUCAAAUAUAAUAAUUAUUCUACACUUUAUCUGUUUUUUAUAAAUUGCAUCCAAUUGAACCCUUUAUAUAUAUAUCGUCCUCUAUCUCCUCUCUUUCUCUCUCUCCUCCAUCUAUUUUUUAUUUUAAAUUUUAAUUGAUAUUAAAAUUUUAAAAAAAUAAUAACUCGGGUAUGCAUUUCGAUGCGGUCGCAGCAAUUUUGAGUUUAAAACAUCCAAUUGAAUUCAUGUUGUGAAAAAAAAGUUUUAAAACAUCAUCAUGUACUAAAACAUCUCCUAUACACAUUUUAAAUAACAACAUCAUCCUAUAUGCGAGUCUUCAGCACAAUCUUUUUGCCUCCCUCUUAGUUUCAAGCAAAGUAAAAACAUCAGCUACCACUCCCAUAUUGAUACUGGAAAAGAACACAACCACACAGGUGCAUUCAAACAUCAGUAACACAGAUGAGAUAUUUGUAGUCAAACUAUAUCUUUUAAUAAAAGAGCCUAGAAAUAUCACAGACAUGCUCGAUAAAUUAAAUCUACAUAAACAAGUACUUGAUCUUAAUAUGUUGUAGAUGCAGAAAAUAGUGGUAUUAAUCAGGAAACUCAUGCAGAUAAACAUGAAUGACAACAUUUAUACAAACUAGCUAAAAUAUAAUAAAGUAAGUUAUGAAUUUCAUAUCACUUUAUAAAAUUAAAAAUAUAUCUCUAAUCUUGGAACCGUGGUGGAAGGUAUUCAUAAGUACUAUUUUUUGACAAAUAAUAUUUAUCUAUAUAUUUUUGUUAUUUUUUCAAGAUUCAUGUUAUUAUAUACCAUUUUUUCCAAUAAUUUUAAAUCCAUAUAUCAUAUGCAACUUCAUGUUAACGCCUAACACUUUAAUAGUAUUUUGGUGUUUUUUUUUUGCCAACGUUCUAUAAAUCAGGGGAAUUUAGAAAGAGUGAUAAGCAGAUCACCCAAUUAAAUUAGGAAAUUGAUUUCCAAGAUGCACAUAAUGAUCAAGGUAUGGAAUUAACACGUAGACUUGCAAUAUACAAUGCCCACAACCUUGACAUUGCCUUGGAGCAACAAUAUAUGGUUGGACAGAUUCGAUCACUUUUAUACUUCAAUGCAUAUGUUUAUCCGGAGAAAGUAUAUAGUCUCAAGAAUUUUAAGUUGGUUAGAGUUUUGAAACUCGACGGAUUUAAGUUCAGUGAGGGAAAGUUACUUCAAGAAAUAACUAAACUCAUUCACUUGAGGUAUUUGAGUUUGGUAGGUUGUGUGUGUAUUGGAGGAGUUGCCAUCAUGUAUAGGGGACUUGAGAUACUUGGAAACACUUGAUUUAAGGGUAUUUGAUUUAGGUGGUGUUAUCAUAUCAGAUGUGUUAUGGAAGAUGAAACGUUUGAAGCAUCUUUAUCUUCCUUACACGAUUAGGGGCGUAAAUAAGAAAUUGAGAUUUGAUGGCCUCAAGGAGUUGGAGUUAUUAGAGAAUUUUGAUGCGAGCAAGUGUGACGCGAACGAUCUCAUGAAACUAACCAAUCUUCAAGUACUAAUUGACGCAAUGACAUGUAGUCUCGAGGAACAAAAAGGGGUGAUGAAUUUCGUCAAUUAAGACUUGCGCCACCCCCGGUACACAUCCCUUAAAAUACUAAUUAAGUUAUAUAUUGAUCAUAUCAAUUUGAUUCAAUUUUUAGUGUGUGACAAUCUAAAUGAGUUGACUAUUGAGGGGAAUGGUAGAGGCAAUAUCAUGAUACCUGAUCACCCGUAUGAACAACCACGUCUCUCUCAAAGCCUCACUCGUAUACGAUUAGCUAAUUGUAAUUUUGAGGCAGACGCAAUGGUGUUACUAG